rnacentral:rRNA from 1 species
GGCCGUUGGUCCUCCAUGCCUCCGCUCCACUGCUCCGAUCCUGCCGCCGCUUGGCCCGGGCCCUCUCUCCCUGCCCUCGCGGCGGCGGCGGCGGCGCUGCUUUGCGGUGGGGGCGGUGGUCGGCCGGCGGCCGAGUGGCUCCCGCGUCACGGGCCGUCAGUGCCACGUAAGACCCGCGUUCCGAGGGCGGGCCGCGCGACGGACGGAGUUCGUUACCCGUCGUCAGGGCCGGCGGUCGUUGGGGGCGCCUGGGUGCGGCGCUUUCCCCCCCUCCCUGCCCCGCCUCGCCCGCCUCCCUCUCUCCAGGUACCUAGCGCGUCCCGGCGCGGAGGUUUAAAGACCCCUAGGGGGGGUCGCCCGUCCGCCUUGGGGUCGGGGCGGUCGGGCCGGUGGGGAGGAGGAGUCCCUUCUCCCCCAGGCUCCGCUUCCCCCCAUGGGGCGGGGCCCCCGUGCCUCGUCGCGGUCCAGCCCCUCUCACCGCGGCCGUCGGGAGGGGGGCUUACUCGGUGGCCAUCGCCGGCCAGUCGGUCCGUGGCCGUGUGCGAGCGAGCGCGUGUGUGCCCCGUGCCUGUGUUGGGGGGUGGGAACCCCCGGGCGCCUGUGGGGUUGUCCGUGCCCCACCCACUCACCCGUGUGUGUGUGUGUGUGUGUGUGUGUGGGCGCCGGACGCCCCGUCGUGUGAAGCCUUCCGACCCACCGGUCUGCUUUGUUUCCCUCUGACUCGGCCGGCGAGAGGCGACCCCCCCGCCCCCCACGCUCUCCACCCAGCUGCCCCACGUGGGCGGGUGGGUCGUGGGGAGGAGGAGGGGGGGGCAGUGUGCCGUGCCGCCAUUCCAAACCAAGCACGUACGACUCUUAGCGGUGGAUCACUCGGCUCGUGCGUCGAUGAAGAACGCAGCUAGCUGCGAGAAUUAAUGUGAAUUGCAGGACACAUUGAUCAUCGACACUUCGAACGCACUUGCGGCCCCGGGUUCCUCCCGGGGCUACGCCUGUCUGAGCGUCGCUUGACGAUCAAUCGCCACCCCCGGGGUGUUUCCCUCUCCGGGGGUGGCGCGGCUGGGGUGUCCUCGCAGGGCCGCCGUGUGCCCUUCGUCCCCCUAAGUGCAGACACUGGCGCGCCCCCUCUGCCUCCUGCCGUAUCUGCCCCGCACCCCACCCCCCCACGCCCUGCCCCCGCCGCCCGCUCGCUUGACGGAGCGCGUGUGGGACGGUGGGGUGGGUUGGCUGGGGGCGGGCGGCGGCGGCUGCGAGGCCUUGGGGGGGCGCGCGCCGCCCGUGAGAGGGAAGAGACGGACCAGAGGGCUCGCGCCGAGGCCGUUGGCCUUGGCCGCCGCCGUCCCUUUGGGAGCCUCCUCGCGCCGCAAGCGGUCUUUUGGGCAUGGUGUGUUUCGCCGGGGGUGGGGUGGGGGCGUCGGGCCGAGUCCCCGCGCCGCGCGGCUGGGAGCCCGCGCGAUGUCGGUGGGGGGGUCGAGUCCGGGCCGCCGCCGCCUCCCGUUUGCCGCGCGCCCCCAACGCGGCGGCGGCGGUGGCGGCGGUGUCCGGCCGGCUCCCUGCCGCGGUCCGCCGCGCCGCCUGGGGUUCCUUCCGCGCCCCGCGCCCCCCCAAACAACGCCUCGCCCUGUCGGGGCGGGCGGCUCGCCCCGAGGCCGUGUCGCGCGCGUGGCCGCGCCCCGGGGAUGCGUGCCCCGGUGGUGGCCC